AUUGAACGCUGGCGGCAGGCCUAACACAUGCAAGUCGAACGAGUGGCGGACGGGUGAGUAAUGUCUGGGCAACUGCCCGAUGGAGGGGGAUAACUACUGGAAACGGUAGCUAAUACCGCAUACUAUCGGAUGAGCCCAGAUUGGAUUAGCUAGUAGGUGGGGGAAAGGCUCACCUAGGCGACGAUCCCUAGCUGGUCUGAGAGGAUGACCAGCAACACGGGGACUGAGACAGGGCCAGGACUCCUACGGAAGGCAGCAGUGGGGAAUAUUGCACAAUGGGGGAAAGCCUGAUGCAGCCCUGCCGCGUGUAUGAAGAAGGCCUUAGGGUUGUAAAGUACUUUCAGCGGGGAGGCGUUACCCGAAGAAGAAGCACCGGCUAACUACGUGCCAGCAGCCGCGGUAAUUC
rnacentral:rRNA from 1 species